ACGAGCGGCCACACUGACAGCAGCAUCUCCGCUCUGUCGCCCCGCGUCGGUCGGCAGUCAUUGGGAACCGGCCGGGACUCCGUCAGCCUGACUUCAUUAACAGUCCGGUGCUGACCGUCCCAAACGCCCGAGCAGAGUUUGCUGACCUACUUCGAGACAAAAGUUCCCGCUUCACAAACAAUUUGGUGAAGUUGCAGAAGACCGGUGCUCGUUUUGAAUUUUUUUGUUUUAUAAAUCAACAUGUUUUGCAGCGUUGUUGCGCGCGCGGAGUAUUUAUAAGCGCGAGGACCCCGGACACCAGAGGGAAGAAUUAGGGAAAAUCUGUGGAGUUGAAGUGGCCAACGUGGCACCAGUCGCAGACCUCAGACCCGCCUCUGAAGUGUGAUGUGACGAUAGUGAGGCUGCUCUUCAGUCAACCAUGGAGCAUGAUCUGAGGAUGGGUUUGUCUGUGUGGACCAUUAUAGCCAUUGUUUGUAACUCUGUGGUGGGUGUCCUCAUCCUCAUCCUCUUCGUCAUCCUCUACAAGGCCUGCAAGGUGCCUUCACACCCAGAGAAAUUGCCAGUUUUCACAGCUCAUCCGCAGCAGAAGAAUUCUGAACAGAAGUACCUGCUGACUGCAGCCUGAUAAUAACUUGAAAACACAGACUUGAGAUGUAGACUUUGUCGAUCAAGCAGAAAUCAAGAAAAAGUGGAUUCACGCCCCUCAUUUAUGCCAUUCACUGGAGCUCAGAGUGAGCUAACUGCGUUAAGAGUUGUGGCAAGACCAACAACAACAAGCAAGCCCAAUCCUCUUAUCUCUGCUGUGCGUCGCUGGGACUGUCCAUCUGUCAGUCUGUUUGCUUUGCUCUACACAGGCAGACCAUGAUCUCCUCCUCUGCUCCAUUCUUUUUCAUCCCUCCGUAUGAGACAACUGAGAGGAAGAGGAGGGGAAACAGCAAAAACAAAAUGAAUUGUAACGGGAAAGUUUGGGGUGAUGGGGUUGGUUGAGAGUGACGAUGACAUAUUAGAGAAGAAAAAGUAGCUCUGUAGCCGACAAGCGGUUUGGUGUUUGCCAGUUGCAGCACCUAUGAUGAUGACGACAGAGCUGCAAACAGACGACAGGUAGAAACCAAACGCCUGAAAAAGUCAGGAAAGUGUGUGAGAGUCAAGAGAGGGCGCAGAGGGAGACAGACGGAGAUAAAGGGCCGAUAUUUGGUGGGGAUGAUAAAAUGCAGGGGAAGAGGGGAGUCUUUGAUGUGUUGUUUACAGAGAGGGAGCUCGAGGGCCCUGUUUGACAGUCUCCCUAUUUGACACACAAGUCUCGGCUUCCACCGAUCCGACUGCCAUGGGAUUAAAAGCAACAGCAAAAAUGUUACUCGUGUCCCGGUGUGCCUCUCUUUCAUUUUGUGAGCUCCUGUAAAGACUGAAUAAGAUAUUUAUAGACAGGCUUCACCAGAAAUGACAGAUUGAACACUCAGUCUCACAGUAACAAGUGAAUAUUGUAUUUAUUGUAGUGAAUGUACUGCAGCCAAAACACUAACUGUGGUAGCAAUAUUCUCUAAAGAGUGGAAGAGUGAUGGGAUAUACCAAUGUGACAAGCCAAUCAUCCCAAUAAAAAGUGCUGCAUACCAGUAUAUAUUUUUGUCUUGUAUAGUGAUACAAAGGGCUCUUUACAGAAAUGUGAUUUAUUUUGUGUUUGAGAAACAUCAGUUGAAGUUUUAUCUGAGGUAAUUGGUCCAAAAAGAUGUUUAAAAAAUAAUAUGCUGCUUUGAUUUUCUAUGCAGCAUGUUCUGUUUUGUGGGAUAUAUUACUCACAUGCAAUCAUGAACAGCAUUUUGUGGUGAAAUGAUUACUUGUUUAAGACAUAUUUUGGAUUUGAUAAAUAAUUUAAAUCACAAUUAAGUUGCAUCUUAUGUGUGAACUUUUUCUUUCAUAUCAUUGUAAGCUGAAUAAUUUGGGACUACAGCUUGUUUAAUCACAGAAUAGUAAACAGAAUAACUGAUCUUGAAAAUAAUAAUUUCUUACAUUUUGACACUUUACAGCAUAACUAUUGUUUCACUGUGGUAAUUACCAUUGCCCUGACUUUAUACCUUGUGCUACUAAUGAC